ACGGCAAACCAAAAUCAACCGACCGACCCCAGUACAUUUUUCUUCUUCUUCUUCCAGCAACUCUCCAAACGAGAACAGCAACCAAAACAAACCCAGUCCAGCGUACCAGGCGACCCGAAGUCCAGCAGCCUCGCGCGUGUUCUUCCCACUCUAAUCGCUCGAUGCGUUCUCUCUCUCCCCUUUCGUACCAGAACGUUAGAGAGUCAUCCGACGUGUCUCCAUCUCCUCGCUCGUUCAUCCUUCCUCCAAAAUCGGACGGCUCCCUUCUUUAAUCCGUUGAGAAUGGUACGAAUUCCAGUCGUUCGACCUUAUCCUUUGAGAGUAAUUCGAAUUUGAAAUUCGAAAUGGAAUCCGGUUUCCCCCCUUUUGAAUUCCAAUUUUUCCUCUUAUAAAUAUCCAUCUCUUUUACUGUUUUAGAGGGUUUUUUUUGGGGGGGGCUUCCACUGAUACAGAGAAAUAGCUUAAAGGAAAAUAUAUAAAAAUACAUACGAAACACACUUCAAAGUAGAGAAGAUAACUGAUUCGAACUCCGGUUCCUAUCUUGUUCGAUCAAAAAGCUUCUCGAAAGCUCUUUGAUUGUGGUGGUGGAAAGCUUUUCAACUCGUCGUCUCAGUUCCGCUGCUCCUAAGAAGGCUGGAAUGUGCAAAAAAUGCAGGCGUACAGGACAGGUGGUGCAAAAAGUGGCCAGAGGCCCAAAUUUGGAUAUUCCUUUCCCUGCUCUUAUUGUUUUAUUGUAUUUAACUAACACAUUUAUUUGAUCUUUGGUUUAACUUAA